GAUGAACGCUAGCUACAGGCUUAACACAUGCAAGUCGAGGGGUAGCACGGAGGAAGCUUGCUUCCUUGGGUGACGACCGGCGCACGGGUGAGUAACGCGUAUCCUACCUACCCAUAACUCGGGCACAGCCGCUCGAAAGAGUGAUUGAUUCCCGAUAUGUCAUUAGAGUAGAUCUAAUGAUGAAAGAUUUAUCGGUUAUGGAUGGGGAUGCGUAAGAUUAGGUAGUAGGCGGGGUAACGGCCCACCUAGCCGACGAUCUUUAGGGGUUCUGAGAGGAAGGUCCCCCACACUGGUACUGAGACACGGACCAGACUCCUACGGGAGGCAGCAGUGAGGAAUAUUGGUCAAUGGGCGGAAGCCUGAACCAGCCAAGUAGCGUGAAGGAUUACAGCCCUACGGGUUUUAAACUUCUUUUAUAUAAGAGUAAUGUGCACUACGUGUAGUGUAUUGCAAGUAUUAUAUGAAUAAGCAUCGGCUAACUCCGUGCCAGCAGCCGCAGUAA
rnacentral:rRNA from 1 species